rnacentral:rRNA from 1 species
GAUGAACGCUGGCGGCGUGCCUAAUACAUGCAAGUCGAGCGAACGGACGAGAAGCUUGCUUCUCUGAUGUUAGCGGCGGACGGGUGAGUAACACGUGGAUAACCUACCUAUAAGACUGGGAUAACUUCGGGAAACCGGAGCUAAUACCGGAUAAUAUUUUGAACCGCAUGGUUCAAAAGUAAAAGACGGUCUUGCUGUCACUUAUAGAUGGAUCCGCGCUGCAUUAGCUAGUUGGUAAGGUAACGGCUUACCAAGGCAACGAUGCAUAGCCGACCUGAGAGGGUGAUCGGCCACACUGGAACUGAGACACGGUCCAGACUCCUACGGGAGGCAGCAGUAGGGAAUCUUCCGCAAUGGGCGAAAGCCUGACGGAGCAACGCCGCGUGAGUGAUGAAGGUCUUCGGAUCGUAAAACUCUGUUAUUAGGGAAGAACAUAUGUGUAAGUAACUGUGCACAUCUUGACGGUACCUAAUCAGAAAGCCACGGCUAACUACGUGCCAGCAGCCGCGGUAAUACGUAGGUGGCAAGCGUUAUCCGGAAUUAUUGGGCGUAAAGCGCGCGUAGGCGGUUUUUUAAGUCUGAUGUGAAAGCCCACGGCUCAACCGUGGAGGGUCAUUGGAAACUGGAAAACUUGAGUGCAGAAGAGGAAAGUGGAAUUCCAUGUGUAGCGGUGAAAUGCGCAGAGAUAUGGAGGAACACCAGUGGCGAAGGCGACUUUCUGGUCUGUAACUGACGCUGAUGUGCGAAAGCGUGGGGAUCAAACAGGAUUAGAUACCCCGGUAGUCCACGCCGUAAACGAUGAGUGCUAAGUGUUAGGGGGUUUCCGCCCCUUAGUGCUGCAGCUAACGCAUUAAGCACUCCGCCUGGGGAGUACGACCGCAAGGUUGAAACUCAAAGGAAUUGACGGGGACCCGCACAAGCGGUGGAGCAUGUGGUUUAAUUCGAAGCAACGCGAAGAACCUUACCAAAUCUUGACAUCCUUUGACAACUCUAGAGAUAGAGCCUUCCCCUUCGGGGGACAAAGUGACAGGUGGUGCAUGGUUGUCGUCAGCCCGUGUCGUGAGAUGUUGGGUUAAGUCCCGCAACGAGCGCAACCCUUAAGCUUAGUUGCCAUCAUUAAGUUGGGCACUCUAAGUUGACUGCCGGUGACAAACCGGAGGAAGGUGGGGAUGACGUCAAAUCAUCAUGCCCCUUAUGAUUUGGGCUACACACGUGCUACAAUGGACAAUACAAAGGGCAGCGAAACCGCGAGGUCAAGCAAAUCCCAUAAAGUUGUUCUCAGUUCGGAUUGUAGUCUGCAACUCGACUACAUGAAGCUGGAAUCGCUAGUAAUCGUAGAUCAGCAUGCUACGGUGAAUACGUUCCCGGGUCU